rnacentral:lncRNA from 1 species
GCGAAUACUAUAUGCCAACACAAUAUAAAUAGACAUUAUAUUUUCAUGCUAGCCAGAUACGCAGAUUUCAGAGCCAGAUUCAUAUCAGAUGUUUUCAUUUCAUUCAUUUACAUUCUCUCCUUAUUGCUCCCCAUUUCAAAAUCAUUCAGUAGCCUGUUUAAUUGUGUUAUGCCAAUCUAGUUUGCGAUCUAUAUCUGCCCUACCGAAGGCUACAUAAUUUAUUUCCUUUAACUCCAUUUUCGUAGAUCAGUC